rnacentral:rRNA from 1 species
GUGGAUUAGAUACCCUGGUAGUCCACGCCGUAAACGAUGGAUACUAGCUGUUGGGAGUAAUUUCAGUGGCUAAGCGAAAGUGAUAAGUAUCCCACCUGGGGAGUACGAACGCAAGUUUGAAACUCAAAGGAAUUGACGGGGGCCCGCACAAGCGGUGGAGCAUGUGGUUUAAUUCGAUGAUACGCGAGGAACCUUACCAAGGCUUAAAUGUAGAUUGACGUAUUUGGAAACAGAUAUUUCUUCGGACAAUUUACAAGGUGCUGCACGGUCGUCGCCAACU